UUAUUACUUCCUUCGUCCGAAAAUACUUGUCAUAUAAAUGGAUGUAUCUAGAUGUAUUUUAGUUCUAGAUAUAUCCGAUUUUAUUUAUCUGUGCAACAAGUAAUUUCGGACGGAAGGAGUAUUAA
rfam:Hordeum vulgare subsp. vulgare, WGS project CAJW01000000 data, contig: morex_contig_1586401